AAAUCAUACAUAAGCGGAGGAAAAGAAACCAACAGGGAUUGCCCUAGUAACGGCGAGUGAAGCGGCAACAGCUCAAAUUUGAAAUCUGGCUUCCUUUGGGGGUCCGAGUUGUAAUUUGCAGAGGGUGCUUUGGCAUUGGCGGCGGUCUAAGUUCCUUGGAACAGGACAUCGCAGAGGGUGAGAAUCCCGUACGUGGGCGCCUGCCUUUGCCGUGUAAAGCCCCUUCGACGAGUCGAGUUGUUUGGGAAUGCAGCUCUAAAUGGGAGGUAAAUUUCUUCUAAAGCUAAAUACCGGCCAGAGACCGAUAGCGCACAAGUAGAGUGAUCGAAAGAUGAAAAGUACUUUGGAAAGAGAGUAAAAUAGCACGUGAAAUUGUUGAAAGGGAAGCGCUUGCAGCCAGACUUGCCCGCAGUUGCUCACCCCGGCUCUUUGCCUGGGGCACUCUUCUGCGGGCAGGCCAGCAUCAGUUUGGGCGGUCGGAUAAAGGCCUCUGUCACGUAUCUUCCUUCGGGAUGACCUUAUAGGGGAGGCGUAAUGCGACCAGCCCGGACUGAGGUCCGCGCAUCUGCUAGGAUGCUGGCGUAAUGGCUGUAAGCGGCCCGUCUUGAAACACGGACCAAGGAGUCUAACAUCUAUGCGAGUGUUUGGGUGUCAAGCCCGGGCGCGUAAUGAAAGUGAACGGAGGUGGGAACCCUUUGGGUGCACCAUCGACCGAUCCUGAUGUCUUCGGAUGGAUUUGAGUAAGAGCAUAGCUGUUGGGACCCGAAAGAUGGUGAACUAUGCUUGAAUAGGGUGAAGCCAGAGGAAACUCUGGUGGAGGCUCGCAGCGGUUCUGACGUGCAAAUCGAUCGUCAAAUUUGGGCAUAGGGGCGAAAGACUAAUCGAACCAUCUGCU
rnacentral:rRNA from 1 species